GACCUCGGAUCAGGUAGGAAUACCCGCUGAACUUAA
rnacentral:rRNA from 24 species